rnacentral:rRNA from 1 species
CUUUGGUGGCGACCGGCGCACGGGUGAGUAACGCGUAUGCAACCUGCCCGAUACCGGGGUAUAGCCCAUGGAAACGUGGAUUAACACCCCAUAGUACUUUUAUCCUGCCUGGGAUGGGAGUUAAAUGUUCAAGGUAUCGGAUGGGCAUGCGUCCUAUUAGUUAGUUGGCGGGGUAACAGCCCACCAAGACGAUGAUAGGUAGGGGUUCUGAGAGGAAGGUCCCCCACAUUGGAACUGAGACACGGUCCAA